UACGGUGCAGAUAAUGACCUAAAUAUCCCAAAGCAGUAGACCUCGCUGAUCUUUGAAGCUAAGCAGGGUCAGCACUGGUUUAUACUUGGGUGGGAGACCGCCAAGGAAUAUCAGCUGCUAUAU
rnacentral:rRNA from 11 species